rnacentral:rRNA from 1 species
GAUGAACGCUGGCGGCGUGCUUAACACAUGCAAGUCGAACGGUGAAGCAGGAGCUUGCUCUUGUGGAUCAGUGGCGAACGGGUGAGUAACACGUGAGCAACCUGCCCCUGACUCCGGGAUAAGCGCUGGAAACGGCGUCUAAUACUGGAUAUGUGAUGUGACCGCAUGGUCUGCAUCUGGAAAGAAUUUCGGCGGGGGAUGGUCUCGCGGGCUAUCAGGUGGUUGGUGAGGUAAUGGCUCACCAAGGCGUCGACGGGUAGCCGGCCUGAGAGGGUGACCGGCCACACUGGGGCGGAGACACGGCCCAGCCUCCUUCGGGAGGCAGCAGUGGGGAAUAUUGCACAAUGGGCGGAAGCCUGAUGCAGCAACGCCGCGUGAGGGAUGACGGCCUUCGGGUUGUAAACCUCUUUUAGCAGGGAAGAAGCGAAAGUGACGGUACCUGCAGAAAAAGCACCGGCUAAUUACGUGCCAGCCGCCGCGGUAA